rfam:Schistosoma mattheei strain Denwood, Zambia genome assembly, scaffold: SMTD_scaffold0003533
AUCCACCCGACGAGUCUCAAGUAGGACGAAACACACGUCCUGGAU